GAGUUUGAUCCUGGCUCAGGAUAAACGCUGGCGGCGUGCAUGAGACAUGCAAGUCGAACGGACACUUGGGGCUUGCUCCAAGUGUUAGUGGCGGACGGCUGAGUAACGCGUAGGUGACCUGCCCCGAAGUGGGGAAUAACUGCCCGAAAGGGUGGCUAAUACCGCAUGUGGUGGUGUGUUCAUUCACACCAGUAAAGCCGCAAGGCGCUUCGGGAGGGGCCUGCGUCCGAUUAGCUCGUUGGUGGGGUAACGGCUCACCAAGGCGACGAUCGGUAGGUGGUCUGAGAGGACGAUCACCCAGACUGGGACUG
rnacentral:rRNA from 1 species